rnacentral:tRNA from 1 species
UGCCGCGCGGGCCGGCUCGAGUCGCGUUCGCUUCGGCCGAUCGGGUCGGUCAUCACGAGGCCGGCGCCUGUUCCGUCGUGCCGCCGCCG